rnacentral:misc_RNA from 1 species
UCCCGCAACGAGCGCAACCCUCGUCCUAUGUUGCCAGCGAGUUAUGUCGGGGACUCAUAGGAGACUGCCGGGGUCAACUCGGAGGAAGGUGGGGAUGACGUCAAGUCAUCAUGCCCCUUACGUCCUGGGCUGCACACAUGCUACAAUGGCCGGUACAAAGGGCUGCGAUACCGCGAGGUGGAGCGAAUCCCAAAAAGCCGGUCUCAGUUCGGAUCGGGGUCUGCAACUCGACCCCGUGAAGUCGGAGUCGCUAGUAAUCGCAGAUCAGCAAUGCUGCGGUGAAUACGUUCCCGGGCCUUGUACACACCGCCCGUCACGUCACGAAAGUCGGUAACACCCGAAGCCGGUGGCCUAACCCUUGUGGGGGGAGCCGUCGAAGGUGGGACCGGCGAUUGGGACGAAGUCGUAACAAGGUAGCCGUACCGGAAGGUGCGGCUGGAUCACCUCCUUUCUAAGGAGCGUCUGGCUGGUCUGUCCUGUUGGGGGUGGGCUGGUUCAGGGCCAUGGCCGGAUGUGCAUGCCGGUCUGGUUGCUCAUGGGUGGAACGCUGACGAUAGGGCUGCUGGUUGGCCUGCUGGGUGUCUAGUACUC